rnacentral:rRNA from 1 species
CCUACGGGUGGCAGCAGUGAGGAAUAUUGGUCAAUGGGCGAGAGCCUGAACCAGCCAAGUCGCGUGAAGGAUGACGGCCCUACGGGUGGUAAACUUCUUUUGUCAGGGAGCAAUUGGGUCCACGCGUGGGCUUAGCGCGAGUACCUGACGAAAAAGCAUCGGCUAACUCCGUGCCAGCAGCCGCGGUAAUACGGUGGAUGCGAGCGUUAUCCGGAUUUAUUGGGUUUAAAGGGUGCGUAGGCGGAAGAUCAAGUCAGCGGGAAAAAUUCGGGGCUCAACCCCGUCGUGCCGUGGAAACUGAUGUUCUUGAGUGGACGAGAAGUAUGCGGAAUGCGUGGUGUAGCGGUGAAAUGCAUAGAUAUCACGAAGAACUCCGAUUGCGAAGGCAGCAUACCGGCGCCCAACUGACGCUGAAGCACGAAAGCGUGGGUAUCGAACAGGAUUAGAUACCCCGGUAGUC